AGAGUUUGAUCCUGGCUCAGGAUGAACGCUAGCUACAGGCUUAACACAUGCAAGUCGAGGGGCAGCAUGGAAGAAGCUUGCUUCUUCUGAUGGCGACCGGCGCACGGGUGCGUAACGCGUAUCAAACCUGCCUCAUACUCGGGGAUAGCCUUGCGAAAGUAAGAUUAAUACCCGAUGUUGUUGCUUUCUCGCAUGGGAGAGUAACCAAAGAUUUAUCGGUAUGAGAUGGUGAUGCGUCCGAUUAGGUAGUAGGCGGGGUAACGGCCCACCUAGCCUUCGAUCGGUAGGGGUUCUGAGAGGAAGGUCCCCCACACUGGAACUGAGACACGGUCCAGACUCCUACGGGAGGCAGCAGUGAGGAAUAUUGGUCAAUGGGCGAGAGCCUGAACCAGCCAAGUAGCGUGCAGGAUGACGGCCCUAUGGGUUGUAAACUGCUUUUAUGUGAGAAUAAAGUUAGGUAUGUAUACUUAUUUGCAUGUAUCACAUGAAUAAGGACCGGCUAAUUCCGUGCCAGCAGCCGCGGUAAUACGGAAGGUCCAGGCGUUAUCCGGAUUUAUUGGGUUUAAAGGGAGCGUAGGCCGUGGAUUAAGCGUGUUGUGAAAUGUAGACGCUCAACGUCUGAAUUGCAGCGCGAACUGGUUCACUUGAGUAUGCACAACGUAGGCGGAAUUCGUCGUGUAGCGGUGAAAUGCUUAGAUAUGACGAAGAACUCCGAUUGCGAAGGCAGCUGACGGGAGCGCAACUGACGCUUAAGCUCGAAGGUGCGGGUAUCAAACAGGAUUAGAUACCCUGGUAGUCCGCACAGUAAACGAUGGAUGCCCGCUGUUGGUACCUGGUAUCAGCGGCUAAGCGAAAGCAUUAAGCAUCCCACCUGGGGAGUACGCCGGCAACGGUG
rnacentral:rRNA from 1 species